rnacentral:rRNA from 1 species
UCGAGAAUCUUCCGCAAUGGGCGAAAGCCUGACGGAGCGACGCCGCGUGUAGGAUGAAGGCCCUCGGGUUGUAAACUACUGUCACGGGUUAUGAAUGUGCAUAUGUUAACAGCGUGUGUAUUGACGUAAGCCCGAAAGGAAGCACCGGCUAACUCUGUGCCAGCAGCCGCGGUAAUACAGAGGGUGCAAACGUUGUUCGGAAUUACUGGGCAUAAAGCGCACGUAGGUGGUUUUGUAAGUCGGAUGUGAAAGCCCUGGGCUCAACCUGGGAAUUGCAUUCGAUACUGCUUAACUAGAGUAUGGUAGAGGGAAGUGGAAUUUCCGGUGUAGCGGUGAAAUGCGUAGAUAUCGGAAGGAACACCAGUGGCGAAGGCGACUUCCUGGGCCAAUACUGACACUGAGGUGCGAAAGCGUGGGUAGCAAACAGGAUUAGAUACCCCCGUAGUCCCUGAGCGGGCUGGCAAGGCGCAU